GAGUAAUGAUGUGUUAAACCUAUUCCAUUUCUGAAACAGAUGUGGACACAAAUCUGCUGAACUU